CCUGGUUGAUCCUGCAGUAGUCAUAUGCCUUGUCUCAAAGAUUAAGCCAUAGCAUGUGUAAGUAUGAACUAAUUCAAGACUGUGAAACUGCGAGAUGGGUCAUUAAAUCAGUUAUAGUUUGUUUGAUUCGUAUCUCUACUCGGUAAUAAACCGUAGUUAAUGCUAGAAGCAUAAUCGGCAACAAAACCCCAACUCUGGAAGGGAAUGCUUUAUAGAUAAAAGUCGACGCGGGCUCUGCCCGUUGCUCUGAUUAUGUUUCAUGAUAACUCGACGGAUCGGGCAACGGCCAUCGUGCCGGCGACGCAUUCAUUCAAAUUGUCUGCCCUAUCAACUUCGAUGUAGAUUAAGAGGCUACCAUGUGGUGACGGGUUGACGGAGAAUUAGGUCGAUUCCGGAGAGGGAGCCUGAGAAACGGCUACCCACAUCAAAGAAGCCAGCAGGCGCGCAAAUACCCAAUCCUGACACGGGGAGUAUGACAUAAAUUAACAUACCGGGCUCCUUCGAGUCUGGUAAUUGGAAAUAGUACAAUCUAAAUCCUUUAACGAGGGAUCCAUUGGAGGGCAAGUCUGGUGCCAGCAGCCGCGGUAAUUCCAGCUCCAAUAGCGUAUAUUUAGUUGUGCAGUUAAAAAGCUCGUAGUUGGACCUUGGGUUGGGUCGAACCGGUACGCCCUCGCGGUGUGCACCUGUCGGCUCGUCCCUUCUGCCGGCGAUUGCGCUCCUGGCCUUAACUGCCGGUGUCGUGCCUCCGGCUCUGUUACUUUGAAGAAAAAAUUAGAGUGCUCAAAGCAAGCCUACGCUCUUGGAACAUAUCAUGGGAUAACAUCAUAGGAUUUCGCGUCCUAUUGUGUUGGCUUCGGGAUCGGAUAAUGAAAACAAGGGACAGUCGGGGCAAAUUCGUAUUUCAUAGUCAGACGGUGAAAUCUUGAUUUUAUUGAAAGACGAACAACUGCAAAGCAUUGCCAAGAUGUUUUUCAUUAAUCAAGAACGAAAGUUGGGGCUCGAAUGACGAUUCAGAAUACCUCGCCUAGUUCUCAACCAAUAAACGAUUGCCGACCAGGGCAUCGGCGAUGUUCUUUUAAGAUCCGCCGGCACCUUAUGAGGAAAUCAAGUCUUUGGUUCGGGGGAGUAUGGGUCGCAAGCUGAAACUUUAAAAGAUUGACGGAAGGGCACACCAGACUGGAGCCUGCGGGCUUAAAUUGACUCAACACGGGGAACUUACCAGGUUCCAGGACAUAGUAAGAUUGACAGACUGAGAGGCUCUUGCUGGAUUCUAGGGUGUGUGCAUUGGGCCUUCUUAGUUUGUGGAGGCGAUUGUCUGUUAAUUCCGUUAACGAAACGAGACCUCAGCCUGCUAACUAGCUAUUGCGGAGUGACCCUCCGCGCCAGCUCUUCAAGACUAUUGCCCUUUUAGGCCAAGGAAGUUUGAGGGCAAAGUAACAGGUCUGUGAUGCCCUAGAUGUUCUGGGCCGCACCGCGCCGUACACUGAUGUAUUCAACGAGUCUAUAGCUUUGCGACAGGCCCGGGUAACUUUGAAAUUUCAUCGUAUGGGAUAGAUCAUUGCAAUUGUUGGUCUGCAACGAGAAUUUCCUAGUAUAGCCGAGUCAGCAGCUCGCCGUUGGACUAGUCCCUGCCCUUUGUACACACGGCCCUCGCUCCUACCGAUUGAAUGUCCGGUGAAGUGUUCGAAUCGCCGGCGAACCGUGGGCGGUUCGCCGCCGCACGUCGCGAGAAGUCCACUGAACCUUAUCAUUAUAGAGGAAGGAGAAAGUCGUAACAAGUUUCCGUAGGUGAACCUGCGGAAG
rnacentral:rRNA from 1 species